AACGAACGCUGGCGGCAUGCCUAACACAUGCAAGUCGAACGAGACCUUCGGGUCUAGUGGCGCACGGGUGCGUAACGCGUGGGAACCUGCCCUUAGGUUCGGAAUAACUCCCCGAAAGGGGUGCUAAUACCGGAUAAUGUCUUCGGACCAAAGAUUUAUCGCCUUUGGAUGGGCCCGCGUUGGAUUAGCUAGUUGGUAGGGUAAAAGCCUACCAAGGCGACGAUCCAUAGCUGGUCUGAGAGGAUGAUCAGCCACACUGGGACUGAGACACGGCCCAGACUCCCUCGGGAAGCAGGCAUGGGGGAUAUUUGACAAUGGGCCAAAGGCUGAUCCAGCCAUGCCGGGGGAGUGAUUAAGGGCUUUAGGUUUUAAAGCUCUUUUUCCCGGGAUUGUAAUGAAAGUACCGGGGGAAUAAGCCCCGGCUAACUCCGUG
rnacentral:rRNA from 1 species